GACGAACGCUGGCGGCGUGCUUAACACAUGCAAGUCGAACGAAGAGCGAUGGAAGCUUGCUUCUAUCAAUCUUAGUGGCGCACGGGUGAGUAACGCGUAAUCAACCUGCCCUUCAGAGGGGGACAACAGUAGGAAACGACUGCUAAUACCGCAUACGAUCUAAUCUCGGCAUCGAGGAUGGAUGAAAGGUGGCCUCUACAUGUAAGCUAUCACUGAAGGGGGGGAUUGCGUCUGAUUAGCUAGUUGGAGGGGUAACGGCCCAACAAGGCGAUGAUCAGUAGCCGGGCUGAGAGGAUGAACGGCCACAUUGGGACUGAGACACGGCCCAGACUCCUACGGGAGGCAGCAGUGGGGAAUCUUCCGCAAUGGACGAAAGUCUUACGGAGCAACGCCGCGUGAGUUAUGACGGCCUUCGGGUUGUUAAGCUCUGUUAAUCGGGACGAAAGGCCUUCUUGCUAAUAGUGAGAAGUAUUGACGGUACCGGAAGAGAAAGCCACGGCUAACUACGUG
rnacentral:rRNA from 1 species